GAUGAACGCUGGCGGCGUGCUUAACACAUGCAAGUCGAACGGAAAGGCCCUGCUUUUGUGGGGUACUCGAGUGGCGAACGGGUGAGUAACACGUGAGUAACCUGCCCUUGACUUUGGGAUAACUUCAGGAAACUGGGGCUAAUACCGGAUAGGAGCUCCUGCUGCAUGGCGGGGUGGGGAAAGUUUCGGCGGUUGGGGAUGGACUCGCGGCUUAUCAGCUUGUUGGUGGGGUAGUGGCUUACCAAGGCUUUGACGGGUAGCCGGCCUGAGAGGGUGACCGGCCACAUUGGGACUGAGAUACGGCCCAGACUCCUACGGGAGGCAGCAGUGGGGAAUAUUGCACAAUGGGCGGAAGCCUGAUGCAGCAACGCCGCGUGCGGGAUGACGGCCUUCGGGUUGUAAACCGCUUUCGCCUGGGACGAAGCGUGAGUGACGGUACUGGGUGAAGAAGCACCGGCUAACUACGUG
rnacentral:rRNA from 1 species